CGCGACCCCAGGUCAGGCGGGGCCACCCGCUGAGUUUAAGCAUAUCAAUAAGCGGAGGAAAAGAAACUAACGAGGAUU
rnacentral:rRNA from 1 species